GUGCACCAGGCGCGAAACCUCCGCAAUACACGAAAGUGUGACGGGGCCAUCCCGAGUGCCGUCCGCUGAGGACGGCUUUUCCCCAGUGUACACAGCUGGGGGAAUAAGGAGAGGGCAAGCCUGGUGUCAGCCGCCGCGGUAAUACCAGCUCUCCGAGUGGUGGGGACGCUUAUUGGGCCUAAAGCAUCCGUAGCCGGCUGGGCAAGUCCUCCGUUAAAAUCCAACGAUUCAAUCGUUGGGCUGCGGGGGAUACUGUCCAGCUUGGGGGCGGGAGAGGCCGACGGUAUUCCCGGGGUAGGGUGAAAUCCUAUAAUCCCGGGAGGACCACCAGUGGCGAAGGCUGUCGGCUAGAACGCGCCCGACGGUGAGGGAUGAAAGUUGGGGAGCGAACCGGAUUAGAUACCCCUGUAGU
rnacentral:rRNA from 1 species